rnacentral:rRNA from 1 species
AGGACGAACGCUGGCGGCGCGCCUAAAACAUGCAAGUCGAACGAGAAACCCGGGCUUGCCCGGGUGGACAGUGGCGAACGGGUGAGUAACACGUGAGGAACCUGCCCCGAAGACCGGGACAACACCGGGAAACCGGUGCUAAUACCGGAUACUCCGUCUGGAUCUCAUGGUCCGGCCGGGAAAGGUCCGCCGGAGAGGGAUGGGCCAGCGGCCUAUCAGCUUGUUGGUGAGGUAACGGCUCACCAAGGCUACGACGGGUAGCUGGUCUGAGAGGACGACCAGCCACACUGGAACUGAGAUACGGUCCAGACUCCUACGGGAGGCAGCAGUGGGGAAUAUUGCGCAAUGGGCGAAAGCCUGACGCAGCGACGCCGCGUGGGGGAUGAAUGCCUUCGGGUUGUAAACCCCUUUCGGCAGGGACGAAGCGAUCGUGACGGUACCUGCAGAAGAAGUCCCGGCUAACUACGUGCCAGCAGCCGC